rnacentral:tRNA from 72 species
UGGGCUAUAGCCAAGCGGUAAGGCAUCGCACUUUGACUGCGACAUGCGUUGGUUCGAAUCCAGCUAGCCCAGCCA